CACCUUUCUAACAUCCCUGCCCUUAGGAUCUGGUAGUAUUCAGCAUAUUCCGCAUACCACAGAUUUCUUCAUCAUGGGGAGAAACUUACACAAAUUUCAAGGGAGGGGAGCAGUCUGGUUUGCAGGAGCGGAGCUCAUGAUGAAUCUCCAUGAAUUUGGAUAUGUUAGUGGCUUGGUCAUAGCUCAGCAAUUAGGUGCCAGAUAUCCACAUUCUCAAUAUUCAAAUGCAGGACAAGCUUUUACAACAAUCAAAGGAUGGUUGAU
rnacentral:ribozyme from 1 species